GCUGUGCCGUAACGCUCAGCACUCACCGGUAAAUUGCUUCCAAUUGACUUCAUUGGUCUCCGUCAAAGUCUACAGCGUUGCUUUGUCCAUUCAUUUUACUGUCUAUGGUUAGAUAUGAGGA